rnacentral:rRNA from 1 species
UACGGAGGGGGCGAGCGAUGGCAGACUUUACUGGGCGUAAAGCGCGCGUAGGCGGGUUCCCAAGUCCGCUGUGAAAGCCCGGGGCUUUACCACGGAGGGUCGGUGGAUACUGGGGGUCUUGAAGCUGCUAGGGGGAGAUGGAAUGACCGGUGUAGCGGUGAAAUGCGUAGAGAUCGGUCGGAACACCAGUGGCGAAGGCGGUCUUCUGGGGCAGUCUUGACGCUGAGGCGCGAAAGCUGGGGGAGCGAACGGG